UGAAUUAAGCAUAUCAAUAAGCGGAGGAAAAGAAACCAACAGGGAUUGCCCUAGUAACGGCGAGUGAAGCGGCAACAGCUCAAAUUUGAAAUCUGGCCCUCUUUGGGGGUCCGAGUUGUAAUUUGUAGAGGAUGCUUUGGCAUUGGCGGCGGUCUAAGUUCCUUGGAACAGGACAUCACAGAGGGUGAGAAUCCCGUACGUGGUCGCCUGCCUUUGCCGUGUAAAGCUCCUUCGACGAGUCGAGUUGUUUGGGAAUGCAGCUCUAAAUGGGAGGUAAAUUUCUUCUAAAGCUAAAUACCGGCCAGAGACCGAUAGCGCACAAGUAGAGUGAUCGAAAGAUGAAAAGUACUUUGGAAAGAGAGUCAAAAAGCACGUGAAAUUGUUGAAAGGGAAGCGCUUGCAGCCAGACUUGCCCGCAGUUGCUCACCUAGGCUUUGGCCUGGGGCACUCUUCUGCGGGCAGGCCAGCAUCAGUUUGGGCGGUUGGAUAAAGGCCUCUGUCACGUAUCUCCCUUCGGGGUGACCUUAUAGGGGAGGCGCAAUGCAACCAGCCCGGACUGAGGUCCGCGCAUCUGCUAGGAUGCUGGCGUAAUGGCUGUAAGCGGCCCGUCUUGAAACACGGACCA
rnacentral:rRNA from 1 species